rnacentral:lncRNA from 1 species
CCAGGUCUGAGGAGUCUGAAUUAAUAGAGGUUGACAAGCCACCAAAGCCACUUGUAGAACCCACCUUAAGGUUUAAGUGAGUCAAGACUUUAACUACCAAUCCGUAGCUCCUUUUUCAAAUAGACUUAGGUCCAGCAGACACCCACUCCAUAUGGAUCAAAUCUUAGAGAUAUUCAAAUAAGUGAAAGUAAAUAUCUCUCUGCUAGAUAUGAUCCAAUAAAUUUUCACAUAUGCCAAAUUUCUCAAAAAUCGAUGCACAAAGAAGAAGACCACAAUAUUUUUAAGAAAGCCUUCUUGAUAGCUAGUGUGAGCUUAUAUAUUUUAAGCCACAUACUG